rnacentral:rRNA from 1 species
GAUGAACGCUGGCGGCGUGCCUAAUACAUGCAAGUCGAGCGAACAGACGAGGAGCUUGCUCCUCUGACGUUAGCGGCGGACGGGUGAGUAACACGUGGAUAACCUACCUAUAAGACUGGGAUAACUUCGGGAAACCGGAGCUAAUACCGGAUAAUAUAUUGAACCGCAUGGUUCAAUAGUGAAAGACGGUUUUGCUGUCACUUAUAGAUGGAUCCGCGCCGCAUUAGCUAGUUGGUAAGGUAACGGCUUACCAAGGCAACGAUGUGUAGCCGACCUGAGAGGGUGAUCGGCCACACUGGAACUGAGACACGGUCCAGACUCCUACGGGAGGCAGCAGUAGGGAAUCUUCCGCAAAGGGCGAAAGCCUGACGGAGCAACGCCGCGUGAGUGAUGAAGGUCUUCGGAUCGUAAAACUCUGUUAUUAGGGAAGAACAAAUGUGUAAGUAACUAUGCACGUCUUGACGGUACCUAAUCAGAAAGCCACGGCUAACUACGUG